GCCAGGUGCAAUGGCUUGUGCCUGUAAUCCCAGUGACUUGGAAGGCUGAAGCAGGAGGAUUACAAGUUUGAGGCCAGCCUCAGCAACUUAGUGAGGCCCUCAGCAACUUAGAAAGACUGUGUCUCAA
rnacentral:sRNA from 1 species